CUUUCUGUCCUUGGCGCUGUUUGCGUGAUCUUGAGGGCCUCUUUGGAAUCUCAGGGAUGCCCUUCCACAGACGUAUAUAGCCCAGAGACUGAUCAGUGGACCAUCUUGGCAUCCAUGCCAAUUGGCAGGAGUAGCCAUGGUGUGACUGCACUGCACAGAAAAAUAAUAGUUCUUGGAGGCCUUUGUUAUAAUAGUUAUCUCAGGGAUUCCAUUCUUGCUUUUGAUCUGGAUGAAAACAAAUGGAAGAAAGAUGAGUGCCCUCGGAUGCCCUGCAAGCUGGAUGCAACCUGCAUUUUCUGGACCAUGUACAGGGCAAAGUCAGAUGCUGUAACUAA
rnacentral:lncRNA from 1 species